ensembl:lncRNA
GGACCCGGGUGCAACAGCUGUGGAAGAAGACACAUUCUGUGAUGGGAAUCAUUAGGAACAGAAUAGAAAAUAAAAUUUACUAAUACAGUGGUACCUCGGGUUACAUACGCUUCAGGUUACAGACUCUGCUAACCCAGAAAUAGUGCUUCAGGUUAAGAACUUUGCUUCAGGAUAAGAACAGAAAUCGGGCUCUGGCGGCGCGGCGGCAGCAGGAGGCCCCAUUAGCUAAAGUGGUGCUUCAGGUUAAGAACAGUUUCAGGUUAAGAACAGACCUCUGGAAUGAAUUAAGUACUUAACCUGAGGUACCACUGUAUCAAGUUGGGGAGGGGAAAGUUCAUUUUGGGUUCCUUCCAGACUAGUUUAACUCAGAGCAACCACAAUCUUUCAAAUUUUAUAUAAAGCUCAGGCUAUACGUCUGCCAUCAUGUUGUUAUAGCAGGUCAGAAUCCUUGGCAGAUAUUCUGGGGAGACAAGGCAGAUUGAAGCUUUGCUUUCUGUUACAAUGUCUUUCUAAAUUAUUGUGUUCUUUUGAUAGGCAAUGAUGAUUUUGACUUAGCAGAUGCUCUUGACAAAGGUACCCCAAAGCCUCCUCCAGCUACCAAAAAGCCUUCAGUGGAUGGCAACUCCAGACCUAAGCUGUAUCCUGACCUUAGACCACACGGAGGUGGCAACGGAAACAAUGAUCCCGACUUUCACUUAGGAGAUGCCCUCGGUGCUGGUGAUGGUCCUCCUCCGAACCCUCAGCCAUACCCACGUCCACGUCCACAGCCAGGAAGCCAUAUUAAUUCUGGUGAUUUUAAUGAUUUGGAUCUCAAUGAUGGAAGACCUCCACCUCCAGGACCAGCAGGGGGCAAUGAUCACAUUUCAAAUCAAGGUGGCAACACUGUGGAUAGUUCGGCAGCUCAGAUUUCGUCUCCUGUUGUGAUUGCAGUUGUGCUGUUAGCCUGUGGGGCAAUAGCGGGCUACACUGCUUACAAGAAAAAGAGAUACUGUUUUAAACCGAGAGGUGGGGCAGUUGUCUAAACCAUCAAGAAACCAACUGAGAAAUACUGACCUCCAGAAGAUCAUCUAUAAACUCUCACACACUAUGUUACAUUUAUGUAUAAAUUCUCCCAUUGAGCUUUUCAGUAAUAUGGCAGUUUCCUUGAGUGAAAACUGUUAACCAGUAUUUCAAAGCUAGAAACUAAUUAAUUGCACACAACUACAUGAGAGUUCUUCAUUAAUAUGGCAUAAAAUGUUUCUAAAUGUCAUACUUCGUAGGGGGAAAAAGUCUUUCAACUAUAUUUUCUGUUUUACUCAGGGAGUAAUUGGAACACGGCCGCUACCCUGGAGGUAGCUUUGAGCAAUGCACAGGUUUAUUUGCCACUGACAAUCAGAAUAUCAAUAAAUCUUUGUAAUGGCAAUAUGAAGUGAUUUAUCUCAGUUCAGACAUUGCUCAUUAUUUGGAUGAGCCUAAUGCAUUUUUUAAAGCAUUUUGGUAAUAUUUUAUUAAGCAGCAGGUGUCCUAGUCAGUAAAUGCAGCAUCAGAUCCAGAGUAUGUGAGAAACUGCUUUCUGCCCAACAAACCUGUCUGUGUAUUAGAAUCAAUAACAGAGACCCUGGUCUUGGAGUUUCCAGCACCAGAUAUUCAGUGAAUAACAACUGGCUAUGAGGCUUUCUUGGUUGUGCUGCCCUGGCAAUGGAAUGACCUCCCCAGAUCUAUCUGUUGGUGGCAUGCUCUUAAGUACUUGGCAAAGGCUAUUUUAUUUUCUUCUGCUUUUUAGUGAAAUCUGCUUUUUAGAUCUAUUUUGGUUGCUAAUGUUACUUUGUUGAGGUUUCUGAUUUUAGUCAAUUGUCUGGACAGGGUAGUGAGUCUUUAAUUCAUUAAUUCAAUCUGUUGGUAUCUGUGAGAUAUGAAACACAUUGGGUUCACUCGCAAGUAAUAACCCUCAAUCAGAUAUGUGGAUCCACAUGAACAAAUAAACAUGUUUCUGAAUGCACAUUCCCAUCUGGAUUCAGUCUGGUAUGAUAAAAAAAAAAUGAAUUGUGCAUUGUGCAGUGUUAAAAACUCUACUGGUAUCUGCAAGGCUCCUAGUUGGGCUCAAGGAUUUCUGGCUUAGGGAUAUUGUAUUUAAAAGUGGUGGUGGGAUUUCCCCCUACCCCUGACUUUUCUGUCUAUUUUUAAUACAUAAUGAUUUCUCAUGAUCAUCUUUGUUAGCGUAUCAGUUGUCUAUUAUUUGCAGAAUUUAUGGGGGGAUUAUGUUCUUGUUGUUUUCCUUUCUGCCUUAAACUGCACUUGAACAAUUGUGCCAAAUGAAGAACUAUUGCAAUGGAAUAAGUAUUUAAAUAUAUUAAUAUGCUGCACAUUAAAAGUAAAAAAAGGAGAGCCUGAGACGGAAUCCUUUGUGUGUGGUCUUCAGCCAUAUUUCAAAAAAGUACCGGUAUUCUUAGAAUAAACAAGCCCAGCCCUGACUUUAAUCUAAAGUGAGGCCAGGUGUUUGCAGUGUGCCUUAGAAGCCUGUCCUUAUCUGUUUGUUUUGAUACUUAAGUUCAUACCCCACAAUAUUUCAUCAAAAGGGUGAGCAGUUGUAGUACCCCAAUUCUCAUACCAAGGUUCAAUUGCUAUGUUCUUAAGUACUUCCUUUGCUAUAUAAAUUUAUUUUGCAAUGACUAGAUUGCCCUUGUCAGAUAUUGUACCAGUAAUUGUCUUUAAAUGUUGUUAUGCUCACUUCUAAGAGCAGCGGGGGCACACGUUUGUUGCAUGAGAGUUUAAAUGUAACUGUGAAACCUGAAAUUGUCAAACAGUGACAGUCUGGAAGUGCCCUUUGUGUUGUUCUCUGGAUUCAAAACCAACCACCCUUUCUAUUAUUUCUUUCCAUGCGCAAACCAAGAUUCCAUCAUUCUUAUCUGGGAGGGGGAAAUAUGUGCCCCACAACCCUUUCUCAGUGUCAGGAAGCAAUCUUCUAACAAUUAGUUCCCAUGGAGACACACCACUUGAAUAUUGUGGGUUAUUAACAUUCCUUUCUCAAGUAAGCACAAGAACUCUGGCCAGGUAUUGCCUGAAGGCAACAAGCAGAGAUGUAAGAGAAAUCUGAUAGCAAAAAUCCUUACUAUAUGAAGCAUACGACUCAGGAGCUGCAGUGUGUGAUAUGCCCAGGCUUCAUGGUGGAGCCUCAUUCUUUCCUUUGCUUAAGGACAGCCAUAUUGAGGUGAAGGAGAUUC